AACCGAUAGAUCUCCAUCUUGAUUAUAUUUGUUUUCUCCAUCUUUUAUCUCGAUCAACACCACCUUUGUCUGAACCGCUUGAUACCACUUGUCCAUAGUAAUCAAGCUCUGAUACCAUUUAUUGAGGUAGAUCCCUCAAUUGCGGAACAUGGAUCAUCUGCCCAAGAUCACAACAACGUCCAGAAAGCGGAUGUUGAUACCACAUAAGAAAAAGAAGAUGAAAAAAGAACAACAAACAAACAUAAUAAAAAUAUGUGGAUCGGCCUCAAACCUUUCUCAACAGGUGUGCAAACUUCACUAUG
rnacentral:lncRNA from 1 species